GAUGAACGCUGGCGGCGUGCCUAAUACAUGCAAGUCGGGCGAACGGACGAGAAGCUUGCUUUUCUGAUGUUAGCGGCGGACGGGUGAGUAACACGUGGAUAACCUACCUAUAAGACUGGGAUAACUUCGGGAAACCGGAGCUAAUACCGGAUAAUAUUUUGAACCGCAUGGUUCAAAAGUGAAAGACGGUCUUGCUGUCACUUAUAGAUGGAUCCGCGCUGCAUUAGCUAGUUGGUAAGGUAACGGCUUACCAAGGCAACGAUGCAUAGCCGACCUGAGAGGGUGAUCGGCCACACUGGAACUGAGACAAGGUCCAGACUCCUACGGGAGGCAGCAGUAGGGAAUCUUCCGCAAUGGGCGAAAGCCUGACGGAGCAACGCCGCGUGAGUGAUGAAGGUCUUCGGAUCGUAAAACUCUGUUAUUAGGGAAGAACAUAUGUGUAAGUAACUGUGCACAUCUUGACGGUACCUAAUCAGAAAGCCACGGCUAACUACGUG
rnacentral:rRNA from 1 species